UUAAGUUAUUAAGGGCGCACGGUGGAUGCCUUGGCACUAGAAGCCGAUGAAGGACGUUACUAACGACGAUAUGCUUUGGGGAGCUGUAAGUAAGCUUUGAUCCAGAGAUUUCCGAAUGGGGAAACCCAGCAUGAGUUAUGUCAUGUUAUCGAUAUGUGAAUACAUAGCAUAUCAGAAGGCACACCCGGAGAACUGAAACAUCUUAGUACCCGGAGGAAGAGAAAGAAAAUUCGAUUCCCUUAGUAGCGGCGAGCGAAACGGGAAGAGCCCAAACCAACAAGCUUGCUUGUUGGGGUUGUAGGACACUCUAUACGGAGUUACAAAGGACGACAUUAGACGAAUCAUCUGGAAAGAUGAAUCAAAGAAGGUGAUAAUCCUGUAGUCGAAAAUGUUGUCUCUCUUGAGUGGAUCCUGAGUACGACGGAGCACGUGAAAUUCCGUCGGAAUCUGGGAGGACCAUCUCCUAAGGCUAAAUACUCUCUAGUGACCGAUAGUGAACCAGUACCGUGAGGGAAAGGUGAAAAGCACCCCGGAAGGGGAGUGAAAUAGAACCUGAAACCGUGUGCUUACAAGUAGUCAGAGCCCGUUAAUGGGUGAUGGCGUGCCUUUUGUAGAAUGAACCGGCGAGUUACGAUUUGAUGCAAGGUUAAGCAGUAAAUGUGGAGCCGUAGCGAAAGCGAGUCUGAAUAGGGCGUUUAGUAUUUGGUCGUAGACCCGAAACCAGGUGAUCUACCCUUGGUCAGGUUGAAGUUCAGGUAACACUGAAUGGAGGACCGAACCGACUUACGUUGAAAAGUGAGCGGAUGAACUGAGGGUAGCGGAGAAAUUCCAAUCGAACCUGGAGAUAGCUGGUUCUCUCCGAAAUAGCUUUAGGGCUAGCCUCAAGUGAUGAUUAUUGGAGGUAGAGCACUGUUUGGACGAGGGGCCCCUCUCGGGUUACCGAAUUCAGACAAACUCCGAAUGCCAAUUAAUUUAACUUGGGAGUCAGAACAUGGGUGAUAAGGUCCGUGUUCGAAAGGGAAACAGCCCAGACCACCAGCUAAGGUCCCAAAAUAUAUGUUAAGUGGAAAAGGAUGUGGCGUUGCCCAGACAACUAGGAUGUUGGCUUAGAAGCAGCCAUCAUUUAAAGAGUGCGUAAUAGCUCACUAGUCGAGUGACACUGCGCCGAAAAUGUACCGGGGCUAAACAUAUUACCGAAGCUGUGGAUUGUCCUUUGGACAAUGGUAGGAGAGCGUUCUAAGGGCGUUGAAGCAUGAUCGUAAGGACAUGUGGAGCGCUUAGAAGUGAGAAUGCCGGUGUGAGUAGCGAAAGACGGGUGAGAAUCCCGUCCACCGAUUGACUAAGGUUUCCAGAGGAAGGCUCGUCCGCUCUGGGUUAGUCGGGUCCUAAGCUGAGGCCGACAGGCGUAGGCGAUGGAUAACAGGUUGAUAUUCCUGUACCACCUAUAAUCGUUUUAAUCGAUGGGGGGGACGCAGUAGGAUAGGCGAAGCGUGCGAUUGGAUUGCACGUCUAAGCAGUAAGGCUGAGUAUUAGGCAAAUCCGGUACUCGUUAAGGCUGAGCUGUGAUGGGGAGAAGACAUUGUGUCUUCGAGUCGUUGAUUUCACACUGCCGAGAAAAGCCUCUAGAUAGAAAAUAGGUGCCCGUACCGCAAACCGACACAGGUAGUCAAGAUGAGAAUUCUAAGGUGAGCGAGCGAACUCUCGUUAAGGAACUCGGCAAAAUGACCCCGUAACUUCGGGAGAAGGGGUGCUCUUUAGGGUUAACGCCCAGAAGAGCCGCAGUGAAUAGGCCCAAGCGACUGUUUAUCAAAAACACAGGUCUCUGCUAAACCGUAAGGUGAUGUAUAGGGGCUGACGCCUGCCCGGUGCUGGAAGGUUAAGAGGAGUGGUUAGCUUCUGCGAAGCUACGAAUCGAAGCCCCAGUAAACGGCGGCCGUAACUAUAACGGUCCUAAGGUAGCGAAAUUCCUUGUCGGGUAAGUUCCGACCCGCACGAAAGGCGUAACGAUUUGGGCACUGUCUCAACGAGAGACUCGGUGAAAUCAUAGUACCUGUGAAGAUGCAGGUUACCCGCGACAGGACGGAAAGACCCCGUGGAGCUUUACUGUAGCCUGAUAUUGAAAUUCGGCACAGCUUGUACAGGAUAGGUAGGAGCCUUUGAAACGUGAGCGCUAGCUUACGUGGAGGCGCUGGUGGGAUACUACCCUAGCUGUGUUGGCUUUCUAACCCGCACCACUUAUCGUGGUGGGAGACAGUGUCAGGCGGGCAGUUUGACUGGGGCGGUCGCCUCCUAAAAGGUAACGGAGGCGCUCAAAGGUUCCCUCAGAAUGGUUGGAAAUCAUUCAUAGAGUGUAAAGGCAUAAGGGAGCUUGACUGCGAGACCUACAAGUCGAGCAGGGUCGAAAGACGGACUUAGUGAUCCGGUGGUUCCGCAUGGAAGGGCCAUCGCUCAACGGAUAAAAGCUACCCCGGGGAUAACAGGCUUAUCUCCCCCAAGAGUUCACAUCGACGGGGAGGUUUGGCACCUCGAUGUCGGCUCAUCGCAUCCUGGGGCUGUAGUCGGUCCCAAGGGUUGGGCUGUUCGCCCAUUAAAGCGGUACGCGAGCUGGGUUCAGAACGUCGUGAGACAGUUCGGUCCCUAUCCGUCGUGGGCGUAGGAAAUUUGAGAGGAGCUGUCCUUAGUACGAGAGGACCGGGAUGGACAUACCUCUGGUGUACCAGUUGUCGUGCCAACGGCAUAGCUGGGUAGCUAUGUGUGGACGGGAUAAGUGCUGAAAGCAUCUAAGCAUGAAGCCCCCCUCAAGAUGAGAUUUCCCAACUUCGGUUAUAAGAUCCCUCAAAGAUGAUGAGGUUAAUAGGUUCGAGGUGGAAGCAUGGUGACAUGUGGAGCUGACGAAUACUAAUCGAUCGAAGACUUAAUCAA
rnacentral:rRNA from 1 species